rnacentral:tRNA from 1 species
GGGCGGAUAGCUCAGUUGGUAGAGCAAAGGACUGAAAAUCCUUGUGUCGGCGGUUCGAUUCCGUCUCCGCCCA